rnacentral:lncRNA from 1 species
GAUCAGAAGGGAGCAGACAGUCAGACCAGACAGGUUGACCUCUCCUGGAUCCUCCAGCCAUGCGGCUCCUCUGGGGGCUGGCUUGGGUGUUCAGCUUCUGUGCCUCAUCCCUGCAGAAGCCCAGGUUGCUCCUGUUUUCCCCUUCUGUGGUUAAUUUGGGGACUCCCCUGUCAGUGGGGGUACAGCUCCUGGAUGCCCCUCCAGGACAGGAGGUAAAAGGAUCAGUGUUCCUCAGAAACCCAAAGGGUGGUUCCUGCUCCCCAAAGAAGGACUUUAAGCUGAGCUCGGGAGAUGACUUUGUGCUGCUCAGCCUUGAGGUCCCACUGGAAGAUGUGAGGAGCUGUGGCCUCUUUGACCUGCGCAGAGCCCCCUACAUCCAGCUGGUAGCUCAGUCUCCGUGGCUAAGGAACACAGCUUUCAAAGCCACAGAGACUCAGGGUGUCAACUUGCUCUACUCUUCCCGACGAGGCCACAUCUUUGUGCAGACCGAUCAGCCUAUCUAUAAUCCGGGGCAGCGGGUUCGUUAUCGGGUCUUUGCACUGGAUCAAAAGAUGCGCCCAUCCACUGAUUUCCUCACCAUCACAGUGGAGAACUCCCAUGGCCUCCGUGUACUCAAGAAGGAGAUAUUUACUUCCACAUCCAUCUUACAAGAUACCUUCACCAUUCCAGACAUCUCAGAGCCUGGGACCUGGAAGAUCUCAGCUAGGUUCUCAGAUGGACUGGAGUCCAAUAGGAGCACCCACUUUGAAGUGAAGAAGUAUGUCCUUCCCAACUUCGAGGUGAAGAUUACUCCUUGGAAGCCAUAUAUCCUGAUGGUGCCCAGCAACAGUGAUGAAAUCCAAUUAGACAUCCAGGCCAGGUACAUCUAUGGGAAGCCCGUGCAGGGCGUGGCAUACACACGGUUUGCGCUCAUGGAUGAGCAAGGGAAGAGGACUUUCCUUCGGGGCCUAGAGACGCAGGCCAAGUUGGUGGAAGGCCGGACCCACAUUUCCAUCUCAAAGGACCAGUUCCAGGCUGCCCUGGAUAAAAUCAAUAUUGGGGUCAGAGACCUGGAGGGGCUGCGUCUCUAUGCUGCUACAGCUGUCAUUGAGUCUCCAGGAGGAGAGAUGGAGGAGGCAGAACUCACGUCCUGGCGCUUUGUAUCAUCUGCCUUUUCCUUGGAUCUCAGCCGCACUAAGCGGCAUCUCGUGCCUGGAGCCCACUUCCUGCUGCAGGCCUUGGUCAGAGAAAUAUCAGGCUCUGAAGCCUCUAACGUUAUUGUCAAAGUUUCUCCCACAUUGGUGUCAGGCUCUGAUUCCCAAGUCCUCAACGUUCAACAGAGCACCAAUAGAAUUGGCCAAGUCAGCAUUUCCUUCCCCAUCCCACCAACCGUCACAGGACUUCGGCUCUUGGUGUCUGCGGGCUCCCUCUACCCAAUGAUAGCCAGGCUCACCGUGCAAUCCCCACCUUCAAGAGGCACUGGCUUUCUUUCUAUUGAGCCACUAGACCCUCGGUCCCCUCGUGUGGGGGACACCUUUAUCCUAAACUUACAAGCUGUGGGCAUCCCUGCACCUACCUUCUCUCAUUACUACUACAUGAUCAUCUCCAGAGGCCAGAUCAUGGCUAUGAGUCGGGAGGCCCGGAGGACCGUGACCUCUGUCUCCGUGUUGGUGGACCAUCAGCUGGCUCCUUCAUUCUACUUCGUGGCUUACUUCUAUCACCAAGGACACCCGGUGGCCAACUCUCUGCUCAUCAACAUCCAGCCCAGGGACUGUGAGGGCAAGCUGCAAUUGAAGGUAGUUGGUGCCAAGGAGUAUCAUAAUGGGGACAUGAUGAAGCUCCGAAUUCAAACUGACUCCAAAGCCCUGGUGGCACUGGGAGCUGUGGACACCGCUCUGUAUGCUGUGGGCGGUUGGUCUCACAAACCCCUCGACAUGAGCAAGGUCUUUGAAGUAAUCAACAGCUACAAUGUUGGCUGUGGUCCUGGAGGUGGGGAUGAUGCCCCUCAGGUGUUCCAGGAUGCUGGUCUGGCCUUUUCUGAUGGUGAUCGACUAACUCAAACCAGAGAGGACCUGAGCUGUCCCAAGGAGAAGAAAAGUCGGCAAAAGAGAAAUGUUAACUUCCUGAAGGCUCUUAGUGAGAAGUUGGGCCAGUAUUCUUCUCCAGAUGCCAAGCGCUGCUGCCAAGACGGGAUGACGAAGCUGCCCAUGAAGCGUACCUGUGAGCAGCGGGCUGCCCGUGUGCCUCAGCAGGCCUGCCGUGAGCCCUUCUUGUCCUGUUGCAAGUUUGCUGAGGACCUUCGCAGGAACCAGACCAGGAGCCAGGCACCCCUUGCCCGAAAGGUCCGGGACAUGGUGAAUUUGAUAGAGGAAGAUGACAUUCUUGUGCGCACCUCCUUCCCAGAGAACUGGCUCUGGAGAGUGGAACCUGUAGACAGCUCCAAACUGUUGACAGUGCGGCUUCCUGAUUCUAUGACCACAUGGGAGAUUCAUGGUGUGAGCCUGUCCAAAAGCAAAGGUCUGUGUGUAGCCAAGCCAACUCGUGUUCGAGUGUUCAGAAAAUUCCACCUUCACCUGCGCCUGCCCAUCUCCGUCCGCCGCUUUGAGCAGCUUGAAUUACGGCCUGUUCUCUACAACUAUCUGAAUGAUGACAAGAACGUGAGUGUCCAUGUGACCCCAGUGGAGGGCCUGUGCAUGGCUGGUGGUGGAAUGAUGGCCCAGUGGGUGAUAGUGCCUGCAGGCUCUGCCCUGCCUGUGGCCUUCUCUGUGGUACCCACAGCUUCUACCAACGUGCCCCUGAAAUUGGUGGCUAAAGGGACUUUGGAUUCAAGCGAUUCUGUGUCUAAGAUUCUCCAAAUUGAGAAGGAAGGAGCCAUCCACAGAGAAGAGAUAGUCUACAACCUCGACCCCCUAAAUAACCUAGGUCAGAUGUUGGAGAUACCUGGCAGCUCGGAUCCCAACAUAGUCCCUGAAGGAGACUUCAGCACCUUUGUCAAGGUUACAGCCUCUGAACCCUUGGAGACUCUGGGCUCUGAAGAAGCUUUGUCCCCAGGAGGCGUGGCCUCCCUCCUGAGGCUUCCCGGAGCUGCGCAGAGCAAACCAUGAUCUAUUUGGCUCCUACCCUGACUGCUUCCAACUACCUGGACAGGACAAAACAGUGGAGCAAACUGUCCCCUGAGACCAAGGACCAUGCUGUGCAUCUGAUCCAGAAAGGCCACGUUCGGAUCCAGCAGUUUCGGAAGAAAGAUGGCUCUUUUGGGGCUUGGUUACACCGGGACAGCAGCACCUGGCUGACUGCCUUUGUGCUGAAGAUUCUGAGUUUGGCCCAGGAACAGGUGGGCAACUCCCCGGAGAAGCUGCAGGAGACGGCUAGCUGGCUGCUGGCCCAGCAGCUGGGUGAUGGCUCCUUCCACGACCCAUGUCCAGUCAUCCACAGAGCAAUGCAGGGGGGCUUGGUGGGGUCCAAUGAGACGGUGGCACUGACCGCCUUUGUGGUCAUUGCCCUUCACCACGGGCUGAACGUCUUCCGGGAGGGGCAUGCGAAGCAGCUGAAGAACAGAGUGGAAGCCUCCAUCACCAAGGCAAACUCUUUCUUGGGGCAGAAGGCAAGUGCUGGGCUCCUGGGUGCCCAUGCCGCCGCCAUCACAGCCUAUGCCCUUACGCUGACCAAGGCCUCGGAGGACCUGCGGAAUGUUGCCCACAACAGCCUGAUGGCCAUGGCUGAGGAAACGGGGGAAAACCUCUACUGGGGCUUAGUCCUUGGCUCUCAGGACAAAGUUGUGUUGCGCCCCGCAGACCCCCGUAGCCCAACAGAACCUGUGCCCCAGGCCCCAGCCUUGUGGAUCGAAACCACAGCCUAUGCCCUGCUCCACCUGCUUCUGCGUGAGGGAAAGGGAAAAAUGGCUGACAAGGCUGCAUCCUGGCUCACCCACCAGGGAAACUUCCACGGGGCAUUCCGCAGUACCCAGGACACUGUGGUCACCCUGGAUGCCCUGUCUGCCUACUGGAUCGCUUCGCACACCACUGAGGAGAAAGCACUGAAGGUGACGCUCAGCUCCAUGGGCCGCAAUGGGCUCAAAACCCACGUGCUACACUUGAACAACCACCAAGUCAAGGGCCUGGAGGAGGAGCUGAAGUUCUCCCUGGGCAGCACAAUCAGUGUCAAGGUGGAAGGAAACAGCAAAGGCACCUUGAAGAUCCUUCGUACCUACAACGUCCUGGACAUGAAGAACACCACAUGCCAGGACCUUCAGAUAGAAGUGAAGGUCACAGACGCUGUGGAAUAUGCAUGGAGCGCCUACGAAGACUAUGAAGACGACUAUAACAUGCCAGCCACAGAUGAUCCCAGCGUUCCCUUGCAGCCUGUCACGCCCCUGCAGCUAUUUGAGGGUCGUCGGAGCCGCCGCAGGAGGGAGGCCCCCAAGGUGGCUGAAGAGCGGGAGUCCAGAGUUCACUACACUGUGUGUAUCUGGCGCAAUGGCAAGCUGGGGCUGUCUGGCAUGGCCAUCGCAGACAUCACCCUCCUGAGUGGAUUCCACGCCCUGAGGGCUGACCUGGAGAAGCUGACCUCUCUCUCUGACCGUUACGUGAGUCACUUUGAGACUGACGGGCCCCAUGUCCUGUUGUACUUUGACUCGGUCCCUACCACCCGGGAGUGUGUGGGCUUUGGAGCCUCACAGGAGGUGGUUGUGGGACUGGUGCAGCCAGCCAGCGCUGUCCUGUAUGACUACUACAGCCCUGAUCACAAGUGCUCUGUGUUUUAUGCUGCACCCACCAAGAGCCAGCUCCUGGCCACACUGUGCUCUGGAGAUGUAUGCCAGUGUGCCGAGGGGAAGUGCCCUCGACUGCUAAGGUCACUGGAGCGAAGGGUGGAGGACAAGGACGGCUACCGGAUGAGGUUCGCCUGCUAUUAUCACCAAGUGGAGUAUGGCUUCACGGUUAAGGUUCUUCGAGAAGAUGGCAGAGCUGCCUUCCGUUUCUUUGAGUCCAAGAUCACCCAAGUCCUGCAUUUCAGAACGGACACCAUGGCCUCCAUAGGUCAGACCCGCAACUUCCUGAGCCGGACCUCUUGCCGCCUUCGUUUGGAGCCUAACAAAGAGUACUUGAUCAUGGGGAUGGACGGGGAAACCAGUGACAACAAGGGAGACCCCCAGUACUUGCUGGACUCAAAUACCUGGAUUGAGGAGAUGCCUUCGGAACAAAUGUGCAAGAGCACCCGCCAUCGGGCAGCCUGUUUCCAGCUCAAAGACUUCCUGAUGGAGUUCAGCAGCCGGGGGUGCCAGGUGUGAGGCCUUAGGACUCUGGCUCUCUGAGCUCAGCUCAGGGUCAGGGCCUCGCUGGAUGAGGGGCUCUGCUCUACAGGGUAAAUAAAAGAAAAGCUUUUUGACAGCCAA